rnacentral:snRNA from 1 species
GGAUGUGAGGGUGAUCUGGCUGAGACAUCUGUCACCCCAUUGAUCGCCAGGGUGGAUUCAGCUGAUCCGACUGGCUAGGUGCGUGUCCCCAUCCUCCCUCACCGCUCCAUGUGCAUCCCUCCUGAAGUUGCACACUCAGCCGAAGAGGACAACCUUUUCUGAUAGAGGAGGACCGUUCUCUGGUCAAGGGUAUACAAGUAGCUGCACUGCCCUCCUAGAACCUCGAAACAAGCUCUCAAGGGCAAAGUGCAAAAUGACAUAGAAUAAGUAGUAAAUCUCUUUCCUAUCUUAG